rnacentral:rRNA from 1 species
ACUAUUAGUGUCGUCUAAAUUUGGUGCCAGAAGACUCGGUAAGACCUUAGACGCAAACGUUAAUCGUCAUAAUCAGGCGUAAAGGGUGUGUAGGCGGCUUUCAAAGAAUAUAAUAAGUAUUAUAUUUAUUAUAGUAAAAAUUAUAUUUAAAUAAAAGCUAGAAUCUAAAAGAGGGUAAGCUAAACAACAUAAUUAAUUGGGACUGACAACUUAUAAUAAUGUGGAGUACUAAAGGUUAAAGCUAUUUAUCUACUGAAGAUUGACGCUGAGAAACGAAGGGGAGAAUAAGAAACUUAGAUUAGAGACCUAAUUAUCUCUCUCAGUCAACGAUGAAUGGUAGUUAUUAAAAAUUUUUAUAGUUUUAGUAACGAGGUUAACACGAUGACCAUUCCGCCUUGUUAGUAAGACUGCAAAGUUGAAAACAAAAAAAUUAGUCGGUCUUGAAGCAAACGAAGUGAAGCAUGUUAUUUAAUUCGAUAAUCCGCA